CAGAAGUAAUACUGUGAAAAAUACACCGUGCUUAUCUAAAACCUGGAUUCAUAGAUGAAAAUUCAAAACUGUUAUAGAUCACUACCACAAAAAAGCAGUUAUGGAAUUGCCUACAGGGAGGAAUAAAAUUAUUUACCUUAAAGUGCUGGAGAGCAUCAAAAGCCAUUAAACACCCUUUGGAAGAGAAUGUGCACAAAGCACACAGAAGUUCUAAAACUAGGAUCUUCACGGUGAUGUUUUGAGACUCCAACACUGUAAAAAUUGAAAGAAGCCACAUUUGAAACCAUUUUCAAAUCACACAGUACAAAUGACUGAAAGGUAAUUACUGGUAAGCUGAACAUCUUGCAGAGCAGUUGAAGUGGGUACAUUGAAGAAAACCCAAACAGAAGUCCUUCCAUCAGCAAAGUCUACUAAUGGAUCAUUGUAUGAUCCUAUCUUAUACAUAUGUGGUGACACAACAAUUACUUUGUACGAGGGGAAGACCAAGAAAAGUGUUCUUCAAUGAGCACAAUGUAUCAGUCAGUCACAGUGAACCAAGAACCACAUAAAAAACUCCCUGAAAUUGUGAACUGCUACAGUUCCGCUCAAUUUGGAGUUCAUAUUCUGGGCCAGAGAAAUAUGUAAGGUGCCAGUACGGAAGACCUGCCAGAUAGGAGUAUGCAAAGGUUCAAACAAAAUAAAAAUCUAUGCAUACUGUACAAAAAAUUGAUAUGUGGUCCAUGUGCUGGAAGUGUUCAGUUAUGUGUGUGCAAAGCGUUUUGAUGAAGAAGGUGGCUUUGAUUGAAAACAUGUCAUAUAGAGAAGAAACAAUUUAUGUCCAUUUUUGUUUCUGUUUCCUAAUAAAUUUUUGCUUAUGGCCUGUUUGGGACUUUAAUUGAGAACAGGUCGUAGAGAUAAAAAAUGUAAUUUUAUAAUUAUAUAUUUAUUUGCAUUUGUAAGUUUAGUUUCAAUUAAUAAUGUAUUUUUUACUUUUAUCAUUUUUCUUUAAUUAAAUAUUGUAUAGUCUUUAUAGAAAAAAAUAAGCAUCACACAUCGGUAGGGUAAGCAUAAUACACUGGUGACAUUUAAAGACAACGGACUGAAUUUGAUGAGUAAAACUGAAAAAAGAAAGAAAGAAAGACUUCACCGUUCAAAGUGACCAGCAGUGCUCCUUCCAGGUAGUUCACAAUUGCUGGUCCUUCUAGUGGUGAAUGUAAUUAAUGUGGCAUUAUUGAGAAGUUUUAUUGUUCAUGACACUGAAACCAACCAUAAACUCUAAUCUCUACAAACAUAAGACAAGAACCCAAGAGAAAUACCAUAUUGAUAGCCACAGGACAGCACUGUGUGCGAAUCGUUCACUGCACACAGGACUCAGUUUGUGAACCAACUACUGGAGUGAUCACUCAAACAUCAAAGUUGAAAGUUUAUCUUAAAAUACUUACCAGUAAUCUAUUUUACACUGACUGAAGAGUACUAUUAUUUUAUACAGAAUAUAAAAUCAUGCAAGUCCCUCUGAAAUAAGUUACCUGGUUUUUUAUAAGGAAUACGGGUAUGUCUUUCUCCUAAUA